rnacentral:lncRNA from 12 species
CAGAAAAGUAUGAUUAGCUGAAGGAUAUGAAAUGCCUUGAAAUGCUUUUGUCCUAAAUAACUAAUGCUUUGUUUUAUUACUUAGUUUAAGACAGCAGACACAAGCCUGGCACAGUCGUAUCAUAAGAAUGAGCAUUUGUCAAACCAUGGGCUAGUCCAAAAGAACAAGGGCUGGCAGGUCUGUGAGGAGAGUUUAAUGCCUGGACACAGAGGUAACUGUUAUAGCAAACUGGAACACAUCUCAUCUUUGGGUUAGAAUUUUGGUCAUCAUCCAGGGAUUAGCAAA